GAUCAUUACUGAAUAACUAAAUCUUUAGUUUUUCAUACCCCAUUGUUGACUCACCCAUGUUGCUUCCACGUGGACAGGCGUUUAUUCUGCCCUCUGGCUAGUCGUGCUUACCCCACACUUGACAGGGAGUUGCCCGUGGUAAGACCCCAAUAUUACACUUGAUAUAUAUACUAUAAUGUCUGAAUAAAUCAUUUCAAAUGAAAUAAAACUUUCAACAACGGAUCUCUAGGCUCUUGCAUCGAUGAAGAACGCAGUGAAAUGCGAUAAGUAAUGUGAAUUGCAGAAUCUCGUGAAUCAUCGAAUCUUUGAACGCACAUUGCGCCCUAUGGUAUUCCGUAGGGCAUGCCUGUCUGAGCGUCAGCUCCCCCCAACUCAAACUUUUUUCUUUUAGAAGGAAGCUUGGAUUACUUUGAAGGUGUAGCUUGCAAAGGCUGCUUUUCAGAAAUUCAUAGGCAGUAUGGUUAUUCCUAGACCAGACGUAAUAAUAAUAAAACCGUCUUUUUGGGAAAGAAUCGUGCUCGCCUUAACCCACCCAUUAUCUUUUUACUUGGGUGACCUCAGAUCAGGUAGGGAUACCCGCUGAACUUAAGCAUAUCAAUAAGCGGAGGA
rnacentral:rRNA from 1 species